rnacentral:lncRNA from 1 species
GCACAGUGUGUCACCAGAGAGGAACAGAAUAUCCUUGCUGUGCCAAGAAAGAAAAGACCAUGGAUCUACUAGUUGCAGAUUUCAGCAGUAAUGCCAAGGGGGCAAGAAGUGACCAGCAGAACAAUUAGGCCGUGGCAGCAGAAGCCAACUACAACCCAUGUUCCAAUCUAUGACCUCCCUCUCCUGCUGGUACAAGGAUAUGGUGGACAGCCCUUCCUGCCAGGGCACAUGGUUAACGGAGUGGAGCAUGGAAUGAAUCUCAGAAAAC